rnacentral:rRNA from 1 species
CCUACGGGAGGCAGCAGUGGGGAAUAUUGCACAAUGGGGGAAACCCUGAUGCAGCAACGCCGCGUGAGUGAUGACGGCCUUCGGGUUGUAAAGCUCUGUCUUCAGGGACGAAAAUGACGGUACCUGAGGAGGAAGCGACGGCUAACUACGUGCCAGCAGCCGCGGUCAUACGUAGGGGGCGAGCGUUGUCCGGAUUUACUGGGCGUAAAGGGAGCGUAGGCGGGUUUUUAAGUGAGGUGUGAAAUACCCGGGCUUAACUUGAGUGCUGCAUUUCAAACUGGAAGUCUAGAGUGCGGGAGAGGUAAAUGGAAUUCCUAGUGUAGCGGUGAAAUGCGUAGAUAUUAGGAAGAACACCAGUGGCGAAGGCGGUUUACUGGACCGUAACUGACGCUGAGGCUCGAAAGCGUGGGGAGCAAACAGGAUUAGAUACCCUAGUAGUC